rnacentral:ncRNA from 1 species
GCAGGCGCUGUGCGAUCCGGCGCCCCGGACGAGGUGCGUCGUACCCGGUCAGCGACAAGACGACGCUUU